rnacentral:rRNA from 1 species
GAUGAACGCUGGCGGCGUGCCUAAUACAUGCAAGUCGAGCGAACGGACGAGAAGCUUGCUUCUCUGAUGUUAGCGGCGGACGGGUGAGUAACACGUGGAUAACCUACCUAUAGGACUGGGAUAACUUCGGGAAACCGGAGCUAAUACCGGAUAAUAUUUUGAACCGCAUGGUUCAAAAGUGAAAGACGGUCUUGCUGUCACUUAUAGAUGGAUCCGCGCUGCAUUAGCUAGUUGGUAAGGUAACGGCUUACCAAGGCAACGAUGCAUAGCCGACCUGAGAGGGUGAUCGGCCACACUGGAACUGAGACACGGUCCAGACUCCUACGGGAGGCAGCAGUAGGGAAUCUUCCGCAAAGGGCGAAAGCCUGACGGAGCAGCGCCGCGUGAGUGAUGAAGGUCUUCGGAUCGUAAAACUCUGUUAUUAGGGAAGAACAUAUGCGUAAGUAACUGUGCACAUCUUGACGGUACCUAAUCAGAAAGCCACGGCUAACUACGUG